rnacentral:rRNA from 1 species
GGGGAUAUUGCACAAUGGGGGGAACCCUGAUGCAGCGACGCCGCGUGGGUGAAGGAGCGUUUCGGCGCGUAAAGCCCUAUCGGCAGGGAAGAAGGAGGACGGUACCUGACUAAGAAGCCCCGGCUAACUACGUGCCAGCAGCCGCGGUAAUACGUAGGGGGCAAGCGUUAUCCGGAUUUACUGGGUGUAAAGGGAGCGUAGGUGGCAGGGCAAGUCAGAUGUGAAAACCCGGGGCUCAACCCCGGGAGUGCAUUUGAAACUGUCCAGCUGGAGUGCAGGAGAGGUAAGCGGAAUUCCUAGUGUAGCGGUGAAAUGCAUAGAUAGUAGGAGGAACACCAGUGGCGAAGGCGGCUUACUGGACUGUAACUGACACUGAGGCUCGAAAGCGUGGGGAGCAAACAG